UACAGAGGGUGCGAGCGUUGUCCGGAAUCACUGGGCGUAAAGGGCGCGUAGGCGGCCUGAUAAGUAGGGGGUGAAAUCCUGUGGCUUAACUGCAGGGCUGCCUCCUAGACUGUUAGGCUCGAGCACGGUAGAGGCAGAUGGAAUUCCCGGUGUAGCGGUGGAAUGCGUAGAGAUCGGGAAGAACAUCGGGUGGCGAAGGCGGUCUGCUGGGCCGUUGCUGACGCUGAGGCGCGCAGCGUGGGGAGCAAACAGG
rnacentral:rRNA from 1 species